rnacentral:rRNA from 1 species
GGCCAGACUCCUACGGGAGGCAGCAGUGGGGGAUAUUGCACAAUGGGGGGAACCCUGAUGCAGCGACGCCGCGUGGGUGAAGAAGCGCCUCGGCGCGUAAAGCCCUGUCAGCAGGGAAGAAAAUGACGGUACCUGAAGAAGAAGCCCCGGCUAACUACGUGCCAGCAGCCGCGGUAAUACGUAGGGGGCAAGCGUUAUCCGGAUUUACUGGGCGUAAAGGGAGCGUAGGCGGACUUUUAAGUGAGAUGUGAAAUACUCGGGCUCAACUUGAGUGCUGCAUUUCAAACUGGAAGUCUAGAGUGCAGGAGAGGAGAAUGGAAUUCCUAGUGUAGCGGUGAAAUGCGUAGAUAUUAGGAGGAACACCAGUGGCGAAGGCGGCCUGCUGGACAGUAACUGACGUUGAGGCUCGAAAGCGUGGGGAGCAAACAGGAUUAGAUACCCGUGUA